AGAGUUUGAUCCUGGCUCAGGACGAACGCUGGCGGCGUGCUUAACACAUGCAAGUCGAGCGGAAAGGCCUCGGGGUACUCGAGCGGCGAACGGGUGAGUAACACGUGAGUAACCUGCCCCAGACUUUGGGAUAACCCUCGGAAACGGGGGCUAAUACCGAAUAUUACUUUGCUUCGCAUGGAGCUUGGUGGAAAGUUUUCGGUUUGGGAUGGACUCGCGGCCUAUCAGCUUGUUGGUGGGGGUAAUGGCCUACCAAGGCGAGGACGGGUAGCCGGCCUGAGAGGGCGACCGACCACACUGGGACUGAGACACGGCCCAGACUCCUACGGGAGGCAGCAGUGGGGAAUAUUGCACAAUGGGCGGAAGCCUGAUGCAGCGACGCCGCGUGAGGGAUGACGGCCUUCGGGUUGUAAACCUCUUUCAGCAGGGGGGACGAAGCGCAAGUGACGGUACCUGCAGAAGAAGCGCCGGCCAACUACGUG
rnacentral:rRNA from 1 species